rnacentral:rRNA from 1 species
UCAUACCCCACAAUAAACAAUGAGUCAAGUAUAAAUAAUAUAGAUAUAUUAAUUUUAGAACUAGUAAUAAGGAAAUAUGAUUUUCUCUAUAACUUUAGUGUAUGUCAGACCAAACCAAUUACUGAUUAUUAAUAAUAACUGGUAAAUAAAAAUUAACAAGAAUUUUUCCAAACAAUUAACCGUUAACCCAACACAGGAAAUUUAAUAGAAAGAUACAAAAAUAAGAAAGGAACUCGGCAAACAAAAGUUCCGCCUGUUUACCAAAAACAUCGCCUCUAGAUACACAUGCAUUAGAGGUAAUGCCUGCCCAGUGAUUAUUAAACGGCCGCGGUAUCCUGACCGUGCAAAGGUAGCAUAAUAACUUGUCAUUUAAAUAAUGACUAGAAUGAAUGGCAAAACGAGAACUUAACUGUCUCCCUUAUUUAAUCAAUAAAACUGAUCUACUUGUACAAAAGCAAGAAUAUUAAUACAAGACGAGAAGACCCUAUGGAGCUUUAAACCCAUUAUUAACUAUAAUAACAACAAUUAUAACUUAACUAAUUGUUUUAGGUUGGGGCGACCACGGAGCACAAAAAACCUCCGAGAAAACAACUUAGAAAACAAACCAAAGUAAAAAACAUUUAAACAAUUGACCCAAUAAAAUUGAUCAACGAACCAAGUUACCCUAGGGAUAACAGCGCAAUCUUCUCUAAGAGUUCAUAUCGACGAGAAGGCUUACGACCUCGAUGUUGGAUCAGGAUACCCAAACAGU